rnacentral:ncRNA from 1 species
UAAAUGGUUGAUCCUUCCAGUAGUCAUAUGCUUGUCUUAAAGAUUAAACCAUGCAUGUGUAAGUAUAAACGAAUUCAGACUGUGAAAUUACAAAUGACUCAUUAAAUCAGUUAUAGUUUGUUUGAUGGUAACUACUACUCGGAUAACCGUAGUAAUUCUAUAACUAAUACAUGCAACAAACCCCAAGUUCUGACAAAGAUGCAUUUAAUAGAUAAAAGGUCGACGCGGGCUCUACCCGUUUCUCUGAUGAUUAAUGAUAACUCGACGGAUCGCAUGGCCUUAGUGUUGGCGACGCAUCAUUCAAACUUCUGCCCUAUCAACUUUCAAUAGUAGGAUAGUAGCCUACCAUGGUGGUAACGGGUGACGGAGAAUUAGGGUUCGAUUCCGGAGAGGAAGCUUGAGAAACGGCUACCACAUCCAAUGAAGGCAGCAGGCAUGCAAAUUAUCCAAUCCUGACACGGAGAGAUAGUGACAAUAAAUAAUAAUACCGGGCUGUUCGAGUCUGGUAAUUAGAAUAAAUACAAUCUAAAUCCCUUAACGAGGAUUCAUUGGAGGGCAAGUCUGGUGCCAUCAGCCGCGGUAAUUCUAGCUCCAAUAGCGUAUAUUUAAGUUGUUGCAGUUAAAAAGCUCAUAGUUGAACAUUGCGAUGGGUCGCCCGGUCUGCCUUCGGUGAGCACCGGUCGGCUUGUCCCUUCUGUCGGCGAUACGCUCAUGGCCUUAACUGGCCAGGUCGUGCCUCCGGCACAGAUACUUUGAAGAAAUUAUAGUGCUCAAAGCAAUCUUACGCUUUGUAUACAUUAGCAUGGGAUAAUACCAUAUGAUUUUGAUCCUAUUGUGUUGGCCUUUGGGAUCAGAGUAAUGAUUAACAGGGAUAGCCGGGGACAUUCAUAUUUCAUAGUCAGAGGUGAAUUUCUUGGAUUUAUGAAAAACGAACAACUACGAAAGCAUUUACCAAAGAUGUUUUCAUUAAUCAUGAACAAAAUUUGGGGACUCGAAGACGAUCAGAUAUCGUCCUAGUCUCAACCAUAAACGAUGCCGACCACGAAUCAGCGGAUGUUGCUUUUAGGACUCCGUUGACACCUUAUGAAAAAUCAAAGUUUUUGGGUUACGGAAAGAGUAUGUUCGCAAGGCAGAAACUUAAAGGAAUUGACGGAACAGCCAAUGAUGACUG